UACGUAGGGUGCAAGCGUUGUCCGGAAUUACUGGGCGUAAAGCGUGCGCAGGCGGUCUGUUAAGACAGAUGUGAAAUCCCCGGGCUUAACCUGGGAACUGCAUUUGUGACUGGCAGGCUAGAGUAUGGCAGAGGGGGGUAGAAUUCCACGUGUAGCAGUGAAAUGCGUAGAGAUGUGGAGGAAUACCGAUGGCGAAGGCAGCCCCCUGGGCCAAUACUGACGCUGAGGCGCGAAAGCGUGGGGAGCAAACAGGG
rnacentral:rRNA from 1 species